CACCACAUCUUUAUCCAUUCAUCAGUCGGUGGACAUUUAGGCUCUUUCCAUAAUUUGACUAUUGUUGAAAGUGCUGCUAUAAACAUUGGGGUACAUGUACCCCUAAGAAUCAGCACCCCUGAAUCCUUUGGAUAGAUUCCUAGUAGUGCUAAUGCUGAGUUGUAGGGUAGUUCUAGUUUUAAUUUUUUGAGGAACCUCCACACUGUUUUCCACAGUGGCUGUACCUGUUUGCAUUCCUGCCAACUGUCUGUGAUACACAUCU